GUAGGUGAACCUGCGGAAGGAUCAUUAUCACGUAUCCACGUAUAAACCAAUUCGUGAACUGUCACUCAAAACCUCUGAGCUAUCGGUCGCCAUCAUGAAUUAAUGAGCGCAUUGUAUGAUUAGGCGCUCUCAUGGUAAUCAAGACUGUCUCUUCAGAGUGUAUUAAUCAUACUUGCAACACAUUAACCACUUGAACCUUUAUAAAUUUCUUUGUUUGAACUGAUUUGUUUCUUACUCGGACGUCAAACUCUGAGAAGAAAUCGAAUACGAAACAAAAAAGAACAACUCUUAGCAACGGAUAUCUUGGUUCUC
rnacentral:misc_RNA from 1 species